rnacentral:misc_RNA from 1 species
UUUUUUUUCUACAGUGAGAAAAGUUGAACGUGUGCAAUUUACAGUUUCAAAUAUUUUUUUGUUAAUAUAGUUUAUAUGCAAAACACUAGUAGUAUGUUAGAUUUAGGGAUUAUUUGAGGGUGAGUAACACUCUAAUUUUGCCAGCUAUAGAUUCUAAUGAUAACAUACAUGUAUAACUUGGUGUACCAUCUUGACCCGUCACAUGUUUUCCGUCCCAGAACUAGAGGCUUGUUUUGGUACCGUUAGCAUUUUGACAGGGUAUGUCAAAUGAUAAAAUAAGGCCAUCACAAAUAAUGUGGAACAAACCAACAAUUGAAUUUAAGAUCAAUUAUUGUAGGACUCGGGAAAUGUAAAGCUUAAAAAUGACGAAUAAAUAAAGGAUCUGAAAUUUGU